CAGGGAAUCUUGCACAAUGGGCGAAAGCCUGAUGCAGCGACGCCGCGUGGGGGAUGAAGGCCCUAGGGUCGUAAACCCCUUUCAGCAGGGACGAAGAUGACGGUACCUGCAGAAGAAGCCCCGGCCAACUACGUGCCAGCAGCCGCGGUAAGACGUAGGGGGCGAGCGUUGUCCGGAUUUAUUGGGCGUAAAGAGCUCGUAGGCGGUUGCGUAAGUCGGAUGUGAAAACUCAGGGCUCAACCCUGAGACGCCAUCCAAUACUGCGCUGACUUGAAUCCAGUAGGGGAGUGCGGAAUUCCUGGUGUAGCGGUGAAAUGCGCAGAUAUCAGGAGGAACACCCAUGGCGAAGGCAGCACUCUGGGCUGGUAUUGACGCUGAGGAGCGGAAGCAUGGGUAGCGAACAGGAUUAGAUACCCCAGUAGUCCCUGAGCGGGCUGGCAAGGCGCAU
rnacentral:rRNA from 1 species